rnacentral:rRNA from 1 species
AGUGAACGCUGGCGGUAGGCCUAACACAUGCAAGUCGAACGGCAGCACAGUAAGAGCUUGCUCUUACGGGUGGCGAGUGGCGGACGGGUGAGGAAUACAUCGGAAUCUACUUUUUCGUGGGGGAUAACGUAGGGAAACUUACGCUAAUACCGCAUACGACCUACGGGUGAAAGCAGGGGAUCUUCGGACCUUGCGCGAUUGAAUGAGCCGAUGUCGGAUUAGCUAGUUGGCGGGGUAAAGGCCCACCAAGGCGACGAUCCGUAGCUGGUCUGAGAGGAUGAUCAGCCACACUGGAACUGAGACACGGUCCAGACUCCUACGGGAGGCAGCAGUGGGGAAUACUGGACAAUGGGCGCAAGCCUGAUCCAGCCAUACCGCGUGGGUGAAGAAGGCCUUCGGGUUGUAAAGCCCUGUUGUUGGGAAAGAAAAGCAGCAGGUUAAUACCCCGCUGUUCUGACGGUACCCAAAGAAUAAGCACCGGCUAACUUCGUG